rnacentral:rRNA from 1 species
AAGUUGUAACAAGGUUUCCGUAGGUGAACCUGCGGAAGGAUCAUUAACAAAUCCAUAUGCGUGUGGCAGGGCGACCUGUCCGCGAAUAUUAAACCUGCCGGUUCUCUGUGAGCUGGUUGGAAAUAAAUGUGUGUAGUGUUGACAGUGUGUGUGAUAUUUAAUUAUUGACAACUUUUAACAAUGGAUCUCUAGGCUCUUGCAGCGAUGAAGAACGCAGCAAAAUGCGAAACGUGAUGCGAUUUGCAUGAAUCUGUGAGUCAUCUAAUCUUUGAACGCGAAUGGCACUGUUACGUAAGUGGCAGUAUGUCUGUUUGAGAAUCGCAAAACAAGAUCAACUCUAGUUGAGAGUUGGGAGUGGCCUUAUAUACGGGUAUGUGUAUUUGGCUUGAAUUGAUCGAGUUGAUGAGCUUCCCAGCGCGGCUCAAUGUGUGCUAGCGAGACAGUCGUCCCGAUCUCACAUUAUCGCUGCGUUGCAGAGUUCUGACCACAGCUCGCUAAACUUUCUAUCAAUUACGAUCUCAAAUCAGGCAAGAUUACCCGCUGAACUUAA